AUACAACACUCACACUCAUACCACACAUUCACACAUACUCACACAUACCACAGGCCAGGUUUCUAUAUGCAUAAAGCAACAGUAAAUUCCAGAAAACAGCUGGGCAGAAUAUACAAUAAACAGCAUACUCAGCUGAGCCAGUUGUGGAGAGUGGAAGGUGGUAAGAGGGGGUCACAGGGAAAUUAUUAUAUGCAGUGGAGCCACAACGUGCAUUUACCUGGUAUGUAAUUUACCUGCACCCAACUAACAGUUGUUCAGUGCUGAAAGAGGAAAGGGAGAAAAACCCUUUACUUCGCAGGGCCUUCCCCCCGCUCUUCCUCCAUUCAAACCAGACUUUAGCUUUCGCAGCCUCCAAAUAUUUCCCUAAACACAAAGAGAAACAAAAAAGUUUUUUUUGUCCUUCAGCCUUGAACUUCCAAGCAGUUAAAGGGCUUCUCCCAGACCCCUCCACACCUAAACAGGGCCCCCAGCGAAGAUGCGACACGCACCCUAGACGGGACCCAGGGAAAGGACGUAAGUGCUCACAGAGGCAUGGUUUUCCCCCGUGUGCUUCUCCAUACACUGUAAAUCUUCUGUAACCAACGUGCAUGACCUUGGGAGCCAGAACACAGCACUACUCUGCUCACACACAGUUCACCUUUAAGUUCACCAUCAGGUGCCCGGGACGCAGGUGAUGACAUGCUGAGCACCCCCUGCAGCGCUGCUCAGGCACCCGGCACAGGGAGGGGCCGUGUGAGCCCAGGGGUGUCUCCUCGAGGACCGAGUCCUCAGCCCUGUAAAUGCUGGCCGGAGGCCCCCGCUCCCAGUGGCUCAUAUUUUCAAGAAAGAGUAAGGUGGGUGGGGUGGAGGGGGCACCACACGCGUGCUCAGCAGUCAUGGUAAAGUAAGUGCACACUGCCCGGGGUGUAGAAACCAGAGACCUGAAUUCUGAGGCAGGCUCUUCACCGCUUAGCUGAGUGACCUUGCCCAAGAGCCUCCCCUCACCGCACGUGUUUCCUCACCUGGUACGUGGUGAUAAUAAUGGUUUUUGAGGUUAUUUUAGAGUUAUGUAAACUAGUGUCCAAAAGAAAAAAAAAACCCUCACCCAUAGCAGAUGCUCAAUAAGUGCUGUUUGAAUUUAGAUGAUAAACAGACUCAGUCUCAG